rnacentral:rRNA from 1 species
AGAGUUUGAUCAUGGCUCAGGACGAACGCUGGCGGCGUGCUUAACACAUGCAAGUCGAACGAUGAAGCCCUUCGGGGUGGAUUAGUGGCGAACGGGUGAGUAACACGUGGGCAAUCUGCCCUUCACUCUGGGACAAGCCCUGGAAACGGGGUCUAAUACCGGAUAUGAGCCUGGGAGGCAUCUCCCGGGUUGUAAAGCUCCGGCGGUGAAGGAUGAGCCCGCGGCCUAUCAGCUUGUUGGUGAGGUAACGGCUCACCAAGGCGACGACGGGUAGCCGGCCUGAGAGGGCGACCGGCCACACUGGGACUGAGACACGGCCCAGACUCCUACGGGAGGCAGCAGUGGGGAAUAUUGGACAAUGGGGGCAACCCUGAUCCAGCAAUGCCGCGUGAGUGAUGAAGGCCUUUGGGUUGUAAAGCUCUUUUGGCGGGGACGAUGAUGACGGUACCCGCAGAAUAAGCCCCGGCUAACUUCGUGCCAGCCGCCGCGGUAAUUC